rnacentral:rRNA from 1 species
CCCUUAGAUGUUCUGGGCCGCACGCGCGCUACACUGAUGCAUUCAACGAGCCUAUCCUUGACCGACAGGUCCGGGUAAUCUUUGAAUCUGCAUCGUGACGGGGAUAGAUUAUUGCAAUUAUUAAUCUUCAACGAGGAAUGCCUAGUAGGCGCAAGUCAUCAGCUCGCAUCGAUUAAGUCCCUGCCCUUUGUACACACCGCCCGUCGCUACUACCGAUUGAACGUUUUAGUGAGGCAUUUGGACCGACGCAUCUCAGUUUAACCGCUGGUUUGUGUUGGAAAGACUUCCAAACUUGAGCGUUUAGAGGAAGUAAAAGUCGUAACA